UACGAAGGGGGCUAGCGUUGCUCGGAAUCACUGGGCGUAAAGCGCACGUAGGCGGAUUGUUAAGUCAGGGGUGAAAUCCUGGAGCUCAACUCCAGAACUGCCUUUGAUACUGGCGAUCUUGAGUCCGGGAGAGGGAUGCGGAAUUCCAGGUGUAGCGGUGAAAUGCGUAGAUAUCUGGAGGAACACCGGUGGCGAAGGCGGCAUCCUGGACCGGCAUUGACGCUGAGGCGCGAAAGCCAGGGGAGCAAACAGG
rnacentral:rRNA from 1 species